rnacentral:sRNA from 1 species
UAGUGUUGACCUAGUAUUUAUCGGUCUCGUCAUUUAAGAGUGUAUCGAGUCCGGCUUGUCUGGUCUUACUUUGGUUUUAUCGGACAAUCGAUAGUGGCGAUAAUUUUAAGCGUGUGUAUAUCGGUUGGUAUUUUUAAUUAGUGUUGUCCUAGUAUUAAUCAGUCUUGUAGUGGUGCGGUCUCAUUCAUUCAUGCGUUUUAACGGCGUCAGUUGUACGGUCUCUCUUCGCUUAGCUUGGUGUAAAAACGUGUUCCGCUUGCAAAUUUUUACCUUCUUGCUGGCUGUUGCUGGAUACUGGGCUGGACCGCCAUCGAAAUCUCGUCGUCAUUUCGCUGUGGUGUCUGUCAUCAGGCAGUUUUGUGUUCAUACGGCGAUCAGUGGGUCUAGGCAAGGCGUAAUUUGGAGAAAGGCAGCA